GAUGAAGAACGCAGCAAAAUGCGAUAAGUAAUGUGAAUUGCAGAAUUCAGUGAAUCAUCGAAUCUUUGAACGCACAUUGCGCCCGCCAGUAUUCUGGCGGGCAUGCCUGUUCGAGCGUCAUUUCAACCCUCAAGCACAGCUUGGUGUUGGGACUCGCGUUAAUUCGCGUUCCCCAAAUUGAUUGGCGGUCACGUCGAGCUUCCAUAGCGUAGUAGUAAACCCUCGUUACUGGUAAUCGUCGCGGCCACGCCGUUAAACCCCAACUUCUGAAUGUUGACCUCGGAUCAGGUAGGAAUACCCGCUGAACUUAAGCAUAUCAAAAGCGGAGGA
rnacentral:misc_RNA from 1 species